GACGAACGCUGGCGGCGCGCUUAACACAUGCAAGUCGAACGGAAAGGCCUGCUUUCCCUUGUGGAUUGCGGGUACUCGAGUGGCGAACGGGUGAGUAACACGUGAGUGAUCUGCCCCCAACUUGGGUAUAAGCCUGGGAAACUGGGUCUAAUUCCCGAUAGGACUGCAGGGUGGUGCCUGUGGUGGAAAACGAUUUUCUAGUGGUUGGGGAUGAGCUCGCGGCGUAUCAGCUUGUUGGUGGGGUAAUGGCCUACCAAGGCGGCGACGGGGAGCCGGCCUGGGAGGGUGGACGGCCACAUUGGGACUGAGACACGGCCCAGACUCCUACGGGCGGCAGCAGUGGGGAAUCUUGCCCAAUGGGCGGAAGCCUGAUGCAGCGACGCCGCGUGGGGGAUGACGGCCUUCGGGUUGUAAUCUCCUUUCGACCGCGAGGAAGCCACCUGGUUGGAAGGGUGGUGACGGUAGUGGUAGAAGAAGCACCGGCUAACUACGUG
rnacentral:rRNA from 1 species